UCUCUGCAUAUUUCGCCACGGAGAGCGCAUCUGAGAAGCAACAAUUUUUCCUCUUUGUAAACAGUUUCACUGUGUAGUUGUUUGACAGAGUUUCAACAUACAGUACAAGACAAAUACUUUUGAAACAGUAUGCGAGAAUGACUGGAAUUUCGUUUGAAUCUUUUGAAAUACGCUUUUUUUUGCCGACUAUAUCAUUGAAACAAACUUAUUUUUUGAAGUUGUUCGGAGUUUCACACACUGGCAUUUCUUACUAACAUACCACCGUCUCCAGUCGCAAGAUAGUAGGCUACAGCUAAAUUCCACAAGGGGAGCCAAGUGCCACAUCGCUCAUGACUCAAAUAGGCUACACCACUCUGAAAAUAUUGCGGACCUGGAGAAGUGGCGGCUUGGCUUACUGCUAAAUGACAGACAAGGAACAGCAUAUGUGGGUUUGUACCUGCACUUGGAAAACCGGUAACAUCAGUUACUGUGUAAAAAUUCAG
rnacentral:lncRNA from 1 species